ensembl:snoRNA SNORD58 Small nucleolar RNA SNORD58
UGGCAGUGAUGACUUCUUAGGACACCUUUGGAUUAACCAUGAAAAUAGCUUUUAAUGUCUGAGCUAC